GAUGAACGCUGGCGGCGUGCCUAAUACAUGCAAGUCGAGCGAACAGACGAGGAGCUUGCUCCUCUGACGUUAGCGGCGGACGGGUGAGUAACACGUGGAUAACCUACCUAUAAGACUGGGAUAACUUCGGGAAACCGGUGCUAAUACCGGAUAAUAUAUUGAACCGCAUGGUUCAAUAGUGAAAGACGGUUUUGCUGUCACUUAUAGAUGGAUCCGCGCCGCAUUAGCUAGUUGGUAAGGUAACGGCUUACCAAGGCAACGAUGCAUAGCCGACCUGAGAGGGUGAUCGGCCACACUGGAACUGAGACACGGUCCAGACUCCUACGGGAGGCAGCAGUAGGGAAUCUUCCGCAAUGGGCGAAAGCCUGACGGAGCAACGCCGCGUGAGUGAUGAAGGUCUUCGGAUCGUAAAACUCUGUUAUUAGGGAAGAACAAAUGUGUAAGUAACUAUGCACGUCUUGACGGUACCUAAUCAGAAAGCCACGGCUAACUACGUG
rnacentral:rRNA from 1 species